AUUGAACGCUGGCGGCAUGCUUUACACAUGCAAGUCGAACGGUAACAGGGAGCUUGCUCCGCUGACGAGUGGCGAACGGGUGAGUAAUGCGUCGGAACGUGCCGAGUAGUGGGGGAUGACGCAGCGAAAGUUGUGCUAAUACCGCAUACGUACUGAGGGAGAAAGUGGGGGACCUUCGGGCCUCACGCUAUUCGAGCGGCCGACGUCUGAUUAGCUAGUAGGUGAGGUAAAGGCUCACCUAGGCGACGAUCAGUAGCGGGUCUGAGAGGAUGAUCCGCCACACUGGGACUGAGACACGGCCCAGACUCCUACGGGAGGCAGCAGUGGGGAAUUUUGGACAAUGGGCGAAAGCCUGAUCCAGCCAUGCCGCGUGUCUGAAGAAGGCCUUCGGGCUGUAAAGGACUUUUGUCGGGGAGGAAAUCCCCAGCGCUAAUACCGCUGGGGGAUGACAGUACCUGAAGAAUAAGCACCGGCUAACUACGUGCCAGCCGCCGCAGUAA
rnacentral:rRNA from 1 species